AGUAAGGGGGGACUUAUGUGCAAUUUUUUUCAUCUUUUCACAAAAACAAAAUACAGCAAGGCCCCCUCCCCUACUUCCUUCUUCCUACGGGCCACCCAACCCCCCACGACACCACUCUUCCUCCUGCCCCCUACUCCCAUUUUUGUUGCCUACCACAUGCUUCCAGCCAUGGCAAACUUUUUCCUCCCUUCCUGUCGUCGGCGUCGCCUCCUUCCUCUUCCUUUCUUGUUGUCGUCGUCGGGCUUGAGGGAGGAAAGCUCCCUUCCUUGCUACCGCCGUCGAAACAACUGCCUGCCGCCCUCUCCUUGCAAAUCCGGCUACGAAAUUGUGCUCCCCAUCAUUGAAAACCCAAGAUCAGCUCCUCAUUGUUGUUGAACAACCAUUUUCCAGCUCUUCCAAGCCUCACCGGAGCCAAAACUUUCUGAUCUCAAUCUGAUGGCUUCCGGUGAGUUUUAGGCGAAGACAUCUACAUUUUUGGACUCCUCACAGCUAAGACUUCGCGUAGGCGUCUCCAGAUUCGAAAUCAGACGCCGUUAGCGGUACCGGCUUUCGGAUUCCGGUGUUUCCGAACGCGCAGAAUUUCAGAUUUUAGCUCAGUAUAAUUUUUGUUUGGACCUUAGAAAUUAUUUUAAAAUUUUAGAAAAUGUUUGAUGCAUUAAUUGUUAACUAGUAAUAAUUGAAUAAAUUAUUUAAUUAAUUAGUAACUAAUCCUAGAAAUGCUAUAGAUUAAUUAUAGUGGAAAUUAUUAUUUUAUUUUAUAAUUUGAGGCUGUGGUUAAUUAAAUUAAAAUGCGAAAAAAAUAUUUGCGUGUUUUACAGUGAAAUAAUAUUCGUUUUCGGGCUGUUAAUUAUUGUAUUGUGAACUGGUUGUGUUGUGGAGUUAGAAAAAAUAAUGCAGUUUUGGUGGCCGACUCCUGUUAAAUAAUUGUGAAAUAUUUGUAAGUGUUUCUAGCAGGUCCUUAAGGGGGAUAAACGCUCAUAUUUUAGAUGAAGUUUUGCUAAAUUUUCGGUAGAAUUUUCGAGUCAGAAACAGUCAGAAUUUUUUUAGGCAGUCUAAUCUAAAAAUCUAGGCCUAAGAAAAAUUAUGAGUCUUUUAUUAAUUUAAUCAUUUUCGUGAAUAGAUAAUCUGUCAAUCCAGGCAGCUCCACCUGAAGUAUAGGAGCAGACAACGAAACUUGGCAGAACUGUGAGUUAGAAUCAUAUAUUCUACCGCCUGUAUCAUAUCUGCAUUUAAAUAAAAUUCUUAAACGAAUAUUUAUUAUGAUUAUUUUAGUAGUAUAAAUAUUAUUAAAAUUUAUUUUUAUUUAUUUUCAUUAUUAUCAAUAUUAUUAAUAUUGAUAUUUUUAUUGUUAUUAUUCUUAUUAUUAUUAUUAUUAUUAUUAUUUGUGCCAUUACAUUUAUUAUUAUCUUUAUUAUUAUUAUUAUUAUUAUUAUUAUUAUUAUGAUUACUGUUACUGUUGUUUAAAUAUUAUUAAUUUUCUAAAAUUGCAUUACUUCACUAUACUGCUAUUACUACCGUGAUUGUUGACUAUCAUCUUGCAUGUAAUAUUGCUGAUGUUAAUGUUUUGUGGCUCGGGAUGAGGCAACAGUAGAACAUGCCACCUGAUGGCUAUAUUAGGACCGUGUGCGCACCGGUGAAAAUCAGAGUCUCGUAAUAGAGGAAUAUUCGAUGAUUGGGCCUUGGUCGAGCAUAGCUUUCUGGGACUAUGGAAGUCUGAUUUGCCGGAGAAAGGUUCAUGGUCGAGCAUUUCUCUCUAGGUACCGGCUAUAUUGGUAUUUUAGUGACUAGACUGGACUUAAGGACCCUGGUCAAACUUUCCUCUCUGAGUACCAGUCUUAUUAGAUUAAGAGAGUCGAAAGGCUACUAGAAUUGGAGGUUUAGGAUUCUGCUGUAGUACUCGUCUCGUGUGUAUUAAAAUUAUAUGUUCUUUUAAAAUUACGAUGUGACACACAUUUAUUAUUUUGAGAUAUUUUAUACUAUUAAAUAAUUAUUUUAUAUUUUUGGUUGCUUAAAUUCAAAGUACAUGAUUUUAACUCACUUUCGAGACUGACACUCUUAAUUUUAAUUUUUUAGGUGACAACUAGAUUCUCCGUAGACU
rnacentral:lncRNA from 1 species